UGGCCCCUAAAUCGUGCAAUAAUUAUAAAAUUGUUAAAAACAUAUUGAUGGUAUUCUUACCAUCAGUGGACAUUCUUAUUACCGUAAUUCUAUUUUACUUAAUAAGCAUCUAUUAACGGCAGUACAAAAACUUGUAUAAUGCAAACAAUACUUCACAGAUUACAUUAAAUAAUGCAUGAUUUUUCUUCAUGUUUCAGUAAUGAGAUCUUUUUUCCACCCUCAAACAUGCCCAGAAGACACAUGCUCGUUAUGAAAUCAAUGUGGCGCGGUUCAUCCAGGGGGUUUAAAUGCACAGGCAUGGUUAUGUAAGACAUCAUAAUCCACUGUUACUAUGGUUACCACAGCCCCAACUGACUUUGGUGGUGCUUCAAGAAAGCACACUUCUGCUUCUGACAUCAGUCUAGACAUCGGGACCUGUGGAAAACACGACACAUUAUACAUUUAAUGCGCUGUUUAGAACGCAUCAGAUGUAUUUUACAUGACUACUGGAGCAAAGUGCAUCUGUUGUGUGAAAGGGAUUUCGAACGGGUUCAGGCCAAUACCUCUCAAAGAUCGCGAGAUCGAGAUAAGAAAAUCCAGUCGAUGGAGUCUGAUUACCAGAGGAAGAGAGAGAGAGAGAGAGAGAGGAUGAAGAGCUGAGAGGCUGCUGGCGGAUGCUCAGGAGAGAGACAGUGUGUGUGUAGAAGGUGCCAGGAGGACGUGUCACUUGUUGGCGAUUUGGAACCGAGAGCACCUACGCUGAGCUGUUCUGGGGCCUGCUGCAUUUAACGGGAUUGGCUGAUGGACUGGGGACUGAGCCAUUAAUCUCUCCUCCCUCUUAUCCAAUUACUGCACCUAUAGAGGAGCGGAGCGGGGCAGAGAAAGCAGAGCGUUCGUGCCAAAUGCCAGCGGCGAGUCACAACACAAGAUCACAGGGACGGAGUUUUACGAUCGCAGCCAUCGUAAGGAGACGUAAAGGUGUAGCUCAAGCCGAAAUCAUCGCUUUGUCUUUAUUUACUCACCUUCUAGUGUUUCAGCUCAAACCUCAAUGGGAGGCACUGCUGGCCAUGCACCUAUCCAAUUAGAAAUUUUGUUUUUUAUAGUGUUUUUUCAGACUUGUGGAAAGAAAACAUCCAAAAGACACUGUUGAGUGUUUCUUUUAUAGCACUUUAUCUAUUUUUAUCAAUAGAUUUCAAUCGCAAUACAUAUUUUUAAAGGCCUUUUUCUGAAAAUGAGUUUGCUCUCCUACGCUGAACCAUAUAUCUCCAUACAAACACACCAAACUUUAAUUUUUUAUCCCUGUUUAUACCCUUUUUUUACAGAGGGAUUUUUCAUAUAUAAUUUGCAUGAUAAUAUAUAUUUUAUUCCCCCCAAAAACUGUCAAAAUGUGCUGUUUUCUGUCCGUUUUAAAUGAGAUACCCAAAAUUCCCUCUGUAAAAACUCUUGACCCUAAUAUGUCAAAAUAAUUAAAUAAGAAUUUUGAAUUAGAAUUUUUCCUGCGUUUAGAUUUUUGUUUUAGAAAUAUAUGCAAGUUAGCGCAUGUUUAAUUAAAUAAUGUAUUAU